GUAUAUACACAUCAACAGCUGUUCAGUCAGGAGAACAAUGAGAGCACACUAAUUUUGGAAAAACAAGUUAACACACUCUAAUUUGUCCUUCAAUGGCAAAGUACUCAAAUUUACAAAGGACAAAUAUUUGUGAUUCAAUAGAAAACACAUGGCGGCACGGUGACCGACUGGUUAGAGCGUCAGCCUCACAGUUAUGAGGAGCGGGGUUCAAUCCCCGGUCCCGCCUGUGUGGAGUUUGCAUGUUCUCCCCGUGCCUGCGUGGGUUUUCUCCGGGCACUCCGGUUUCCUCCCACAUCCCAAAAAUAUGCAUUAAUUGGGGACUCUUAAUUGCCCGUAGGUGUGAAUGUGAGUGCGAAUGUUGUUUGUUUUUUAUGUGCCCUGCGAUUGGCUGACAACCAGUUCAGGGUGUACCCCGCCUCCUGCCCGAUGACAGCUGGGAUAGGCUCCAGCACGCCCGCGACCCUAGUGAAGAGAAGCGGCUCAGAAAAUGGAUGGAUGGAUAGAAAACACAUUCUGACUCUCACUGGCAGGAUAUGGUUGCAGGUGAACUGAAGCCUAUCCCGGCUGACUUUGACACCCAGGACCGGUCGCCAGCCAAAGAAAGGUCACAAAACUAAGCCUUGCAUAGGAAAAAUUCUCUUGGACCCUCCACAUCCUGGUCAUCAGCGUUCCAGCUCCUUCCCACAGGAUGUCCCCUGGACGCCUCCCUGGUGAGGUGUUCAGGACACAUCCCACUGAGAGGAGGCCCACGGGAAGACCCAGGACACACUGGAGAGACUGUCUCUCAGUUGGAUCUGGAAUGUCUCGGGAUCCCCUGGAAGAGCUGGACACAGUGGCUGGAGAGAGGGACGUUCAGGGUUCUCUGCCGAGGUUGCUGCCCCCGCGACGCACCCUCAGGAGUUUGACAGCUGGGUGUGUUGAGGUGCAGUCGUUUGUGUAAAGAGAGAAGAGCAGCGGAGACAGGACACAUCCUUGGGGGACCCCAUUGAUGAUGGUACGUCUGGAUGAGGUGGUUUCCCCCAGCCUCACCUGCUGUGUGUUGCCCAUCAGCAAGCUGUAAAUCCACUGGCAGAUGGAAGGAGAGACACUGAGCUGGAGGAGCUUGGAGGAGAGGAGUUCAGGAAUGAUGGUUUUGAACACAGAGCUGAAGUCCAUGAACAGGAUAAUCGUGUAGGUCCUUGCGCCUACUAGUGUCAUCUAAAAUAUGACAAGAAGUGAUUUAUUUAUUUUUUAAAAUUGCCAACCCAUUUGAAUUUCUGUAAAUGAUGCUGCCGAUGCUGUUUAAGUGCUCUUCAUGUGUACAGGUAUAUGCUUUAGUUUUUUUGUACUUAUUUUCCUCUGUAUGUACAAUAUGAGGAGGGACUAAUUAUUCCAUGCACAAUAUGUCUGUAUGGAAAUAAGAAAGUGGCCAUGGGCUCAAGAUAAGGCCAUCAGUGCUUUGGUGUGUCAGUCCAGUGGGCUGUUGAUGUCAGUGAGACGAGGCGAGACUGUCUACACGCUCGCGUGCUUGUCUUUGGGGUCUGUUUGAAGUGGAUAAUCAGUGACGUUGUGGAAUUGUUCGCACUGGAGAAAAAAAAUCCUUGCAUAUCAUAAAGUCCUAACAUGACUAGAAAUAAAUGAGAGUAGCUAUUAAAAUGCCUGUUAUAGGGUCAUUUCUUUUUUAUGGUGUGUGCCGUUAAAUGAUCCCCACUGCCUAAUGCUACAAAAUGGUCUAACUAUCAGAGUAAGUGUAUUGUCUAUCCCAUGUUGAGUAUUUCAAACUGAAAGUCAUUUUUUUUGUGUGUGAUUUCAUUAAAAUAAUUCUUAGCGCAAUGACAGUUUAUGGAGUUAUGCUUGUGAUGUAACAAACCUGUCUGAAAUUUUCAUAGAAUAUAUUUUACCUGCCCUUACUUGCAACCAUUGUGACACCUGGGUGAAAUGCAUAUUUCUGACAUUGUGUAUUAUAGACUUAUAAGAAUCUAACGUGUUGUCAUAAGACUUUGGUCGAGGAAGUUUAGAAAAGCUAAGCACUCAAGUUUUAAUUGCUAUAAUUUCCAGCAGGAAACAACAGGAAUGUCAUUGCCUGCACAUGCAGAAAUGCAUGCGAUGAUAUAUUCUAACAAUGCAAGGGUAUGUGGCAAAUAGAAACACUGUACAUAUGUCUGUAUUAUAUAAACUUUAUCCUGCUAAAUUUUCUUGAUGUUACAAUAAUCCUAAUGAGUACUGUCACACUAGAGAUAUUGUAGAGCUAUUGUAAGCACUAUCGCAAAGCUCUUUUAAGACAUUAAGGAUAAUGUCAUUGCAAAAAGACAGACUUGGCAGAUAUACAGUU